rnacentral:rRNA from 1 species
AACGAACGCUGGCGGCGUGCCUAACACAUGCAAGUCGUGCGAGAAAGUUCCUUCGGGAGCGAGUAAAGCGGCGCACGGGUGAGUAACACGUAGGUAACCUGCCCCCCAGUCUGGAACAACUAGAGGAAACUCUAGCUAAUGCCGGAUGAGACCACGAUCCCUUCGGGGGUUGCGGCCAAAGAUGGCCUCUACUUGUAAGCUAUCGCUGAGGGAUGGGCCUGCGGGCCAUUAGCUUGUUGGUGAGGUAACGGCUCACCAAGGCUGUGAUGGCUAGCUGGUCUGAGAGGAUGACCAGCCACACUGGGACUGAGACACGGCCCAGACUCCUACGGAGGCAGCAGUGGGAAUAUUGCGCAAUGGGCGAAAGCCUGACGCAGCGACGCCGCGUGGGUGA